UCUCAUCCUUGCGAUCGCUCUGCAUAUUAGUUUCUCUCAUUGCAAAAACUGGGUUAUUGCGGCUAUACGCUCGAUCAUGAAGGCCUUGCUGGUACUCUUUGUUGCUUUCUUGCUGGUCUCGGCAACUCUGCAAGCUGAUGCAAAAAGGAUUACUCUGGAGGAAAAGCACAAGUUGAUGGAGCAGCGUAACCUGCUGAGUGAUUCCAAAGCGUUCAUUUCAAAGGGGUGGGAUCAGCCUGAUCAUGAUGAUGAUGAUCGGGAAAAGAACCCCACUAAUGCUAAUUCUGGAAAUCCUAGCUCAAGUACUGGAAGUCACCAUGUUUAUCGGAAUGAUAGGGAACCUUAAAACUAAAGAAUACCAUGAAACUAGUACGUAUGUUGUGGCUUAUAACUUUGUGGAACUGGUAUGUUAGGUGCCAAAUUAUAUAUAAGAAUAGGCAUCAGAAAUAAUACUACACGUACGUACUAUAUACGUUUCAUGUAUAUCCGGUUUCCUCGAUCGGUCUUAGGCUUGCAAGGAAACUACUGUGUAUUUAAAUUAUGAUUAAAUAAAGAGACCAUGAGUCCACAUGACUAGCA